rnacentral:tRNA from 1 species
GCCCCCGUCAUCCAGCGGCCUAGGAUCCCGGCCUUUCAAGCCGGCAACGCGGGUUCGAAUCCCGUCGGGGGCA